AGGGGUAGAGGGAAUUUUCUAGGGUAGGGGUGAAAUGCGUAGAUAUUAGAAAGAACACCGGUGGCGAAAAGCGCUCUACUGGACCAUUACUGGCACUCAGAGGGCGAAAGCUAGGGUAGCAAAAGGGAUUAGAUACCCCUGUAGUCCUAGCCGUAAACGAUGGAUACUAGAUGUUGUGCAUUAUGUACAGUAUCGUAGCUAACGCGUUAAGUAUCCCGCCUGGGGAGUACGCUCGCAAGGGUGAAACUCAAAGGAAUUGACGGGGGCCCGCACAAGCGGUGGAGCAUGUGGUUUAAUUCGAUGCAACGCGAAGAACCUUACCAGGGCUUGACAUACUACGAAUUUUCUUGAAAGAGAAAAGUGCCUUCGGGAAUGUAGAUACAGGUGGUGCAUGGCUGUCGUCAGCUCGUGUCGUGAGAUGUUGGGUUAAGUCCCGCAACGAGCGCAACCCUUAUUUUUAGUUACCAAUUCGUUGGGUUCUCUAGAAAGACUGCCGGUGACAAACCGGAGGAAGGUGAGGAUGACGUCAAGUCAGCAUGCCCCUUAUGUCCUGGGCUACACACGUGCUACAAUGGUUAAGACAAAGAGUUGCGAACUUGUAAAAGUCAGCUAAUCUCGUAAACUUAGCCUAAGUUCAGAUUGUAGGCUGCAACUCGCCUGCAUGAAGUUGGAAUCGCUAGUAAUCGCUGGUCAGCUAUACAGCGGUGAAUCCGUUCCCGGGCCUUGUACACACCGCCCGUCACACCAUGGGAGCUGGUCAUACCCGAAACCGUUAGUUUAACCGCGAGGAGAACGACGUCUAAGGUAGGGCUAGUGACUGGGGUGAGAGUCGUAACAAGGUA
rnacentral:rRNA from 1 species